rnacentral:piRNA from 1 species
UAGAGGAUUGCUGAAAUUGUUGGGUUC